AUGGCAGCAGGCGCUGCGGGCACGCGCCCAGCCCGGCACAGGUGCAGCGAGAGGCGCGAGCCGGGCCGCCCGUCCUCACCUCGGAUGGGGCUGCAGCCGAAGGGGGAACAUCUCCGCUUGGAGACCGCCUCCUUUUGGGGUUUCCAGCGAGCCCUGCUGCUCAGACAGGGAUUGACCUGUGGUGGACUCCACUGUGUUUACUGCCAAUUUGGGAUGAUGCAUUGCUGCACAGUGCUACCAAUAAAUGGGAGGUUUGAGGUAGCAGGAAAAGAACAGAAUGGUGCAAAACUAUACUCAGACUGCAGUGCUUACCAGUGUGUUUGCCAGGCAGAAGGAGGCUUAAUUCCUUCUCAUAAGAAUAACUGCACUGCGAUGGUGGAAAUGACUGUGAACUUCAGAAUUCGAGGAGGCUGUUCUAAAAAAGGCUGGGAAAAGUGUGAAAAUGCUCUAAAAGUACAGCUGGUCAUCCUAAGUACAAAUGAGAGAUCUACAAGGUGUUGUUCCACCAGAGGAAGAUCCUGUACUCUGCAGACCCACUAUAGACCUGACUGUAGCAGAAGGGGAGCAGCCUAUCUACUUACAGAUCAAUUCCAAAAGGGUUCUCUGAAGCGCUGGAACAUUUAA
rnacentral:lncRNA from 1 species